UUUUUUGUUCUCUAGCGGCGGUUUCAUAUCUUUCGUGACGAAAAUAUGGACCAAAUACAUCUUUAGCAGCGAAUAAAACCGUCGCUAGGCGCGGCACAUAAUAGUUUUAGCUGCGAGAAAGAAAACCGUCGCUAAAACUGGAGAGGAAAAUAAAAGUCGCCUCCCAUACCCGUUCAUAUAACGAAAUCUUCUUUAAGCAUACAGGAACCCAACCUUUUAAUAAAUUUUUCAUUUCCAUAUUUAUUAUUUAAUAAUUUGCCCAUACUCUUGUCCACAACCCCAUCACAUACUCGAAUCCUCUCCUAAUCACUAUUUUUGUCUAACCUUGCCUAAGCUUUUGAUAAGAAUAUGACACGUAAUUAGAAUCACAUCCUAUGGCUCAAAUCACUUUUACAUUAUUUUGCAUUUAGGAAGAAUUUUGCGUCGGAAGACUUCACAGAGCUGAAUAUCUGCAGCAUAUGCUGUCGUUGCUGUCGUUAUGUUGAGCUACUGGCAGUUGGCCUUCACUGGCUACUGGGGCUUCUGGUUCACAAGUCCAGCCUUCAGUUUUGUCUUCCUGACUGUUGCCCAGUGGACUAUAGUUAUGGCCAAUCCUUUUGCUGUGACACAGAUCUCAGGAUGUUUUCAGGUACCCUUCAAUUCUUUCGCGUACCUUUAAACAUAAAAACAAAAAACAAAAAACAAAAAACAAAAAACAGAUCAAUAGUUUCUUAAAUCCCCAAUCACCCAUUUAUCACAACUUGGAAUUAUCUUCUAAUGCUGCGUUUGUAUUUCCUUGUGUUUAGAUAUUGCAGGCCUACAUAUGCCUACUCUGAAGGGAACACUUCUUUCUCAAAAAACCACCAGUCAUUUCACCAUGAAAAAUCCCCAGAUUCCAAGUAAUAGCAUUCUCAAAUUCAAUUUGGGCACAAUUUGGUAUGAAAGGGUCCUUCACUGGCUAUUGUAUUAUGUUCAAAGAAGUUUUCUUAUAUAAAAUAAUUUGAGUAUCACUUGAUGUGCUAAACAGUGACGAGAAAACAAGACAGUUUGAAAUGGAUUAGGUGACUAACAGAUUUUUGUAACCUAAAAAACAGGGGCGAAGGAACUUAGCAUCCAAGUCAAACAAAGGGUUGAUAAGUGUAUUUCUGCACAUAGGUAGGUUCCCAAAGAAAAAAAAAUGUCCCAACAAUUUCGAUAGAAAAAUUAACACUUAAUAAGCUACAUACCAAAAAGAACCAAUUUGAUUAUUAUCCAAUAAUGGGUACAAACAAAGAAAAAUUGAUGCAUGCCAACAGAGUGAUCACCAAACUCAACCACACAAGUUUUAUGACAGUAGAAAAUGGAACAUGUAAACCAAAAGAAAUUGUGCACCUAAAACCUCGCACAAAUCCUUGUUCUCUAAGGAAAGGAUAUAUGGAAGAUAAAACAUCUUAACCCCACCCCAAAACAAAAAAAAAAAGGCCUUAAUCAAUGCAUUUUGCUUCCUCCAGUAACAAUUAAUUUUUAAACAAUAGCCAUAAACUAAUUCCUUCACAAAAUUCGCAAUAAAAAUGAUGUGUAAAGCAUUUUUUUGCAACAUCUCAGUAAGUUAAGUAGAAGAGUGCAUGUUGCAAAAACCAAGUAAAAUUCAUAAUCCCGCGCCAAAGCACGAGUUGUAUAAAUGAGCAAAAGGUUCAACAGAAGAUGAUAUAAUUACUUUAUUGAUCAAAAUAUAACAUCAUAAGAAAGAAGCUCGCAUGUUCUCUUAAUCUUUAACAAACAAAACUGGUAAUUCAACUCAAUUUUUAACAAACAAAAGUUUAUUGGAGUUCCUAAACAAUGAAUAGGGUUACACAGAAGUACUAAAUUACUGUCUUGUUCAUGAAGUUAAAUCAAUAAUAAUCUCAGCCAUCUAGGAUUACCCAGAUGAGUUAAUACACAGUAGGAAAAGGAAACUAAUUAGUACCAGUGACUUUGAGAACCCAUUUCCCAUCAGAAUUAUCAUAAAUAGUUAAGUAACAGUCAAAUAAAUAAAAUUCAGAGAAAUUAAUUCUUUGUUUGCAAGGUAUUUGAAAGAAGUAAAAUUCAAAUUUGGACAGAAUAAUCUGGUUGUUAAAAACAUAAGAAUACAAAAUCAACCAGACAAUUGAAGAUUAGGGUUUUCAUGCAUUGGAAGACUGGAGCCAAGAAAGAAACUAUAGCGUCCAGUCCACUGUGCCUAAUUCAAAAUUUUACUCGCUCGCUCUUGUAGAGAGCGUUUGUUGAAAACCAAAGACUUUGAAAUGAAAACACACAAUUAAGAACUAUGCAAUGCCACUCGUUUUCCUUUGAUUUUCUGGGAAGACAAACAGAAAAUAAGAAAAAUAAAGAACGUUUCGUACAGAUUCUGCGUCUUUCAGAUCGGCACGGACUGGCUGUACGGAUCGAUUGACGAACUCAUCCCAGAACCAUUGCUUGGUUAAAACCCUGCGUCUUUCAGAGAGAGAGGCGGAGAAAUUCGAGGAGUAGAAAGUGUAAAAAGAAAAUUGGGCCUGGG
rnacentral:lncRNA from 1 species